rnacentral:rRNA from 1 species
UACAGAGGUCUCAAGCGUUGUUCGGAUUCAUUGGGCGUAAAGGGUGUGUAGGUGGCGCGCUAAGUCGGGUGUGAAAUUUCGGAGCUUAACUCCGAAACUGCAUUCGAUACUGGCGUGCUUGAGGACUGGAGAGGAGACUGGAAUUCAUGGUGUAGCAGUGAAAUGCGCAGAUAUCAGGAGGAACACCAAUGGCGAAGGCAGCUCGCUGGAACGGUACUGACGCUGAGGCGCGAAAGCGUGGGGAGCGAACAGG